AAAAGUUAAACACCUUGGUGCCUUGAGCCUCUUGGCCUCUGAUUCCCAGUUCCUGUGCUUGUAGCUUUAAGACAUGUUUGUCCUUUUCCCACCUGUACUGUGGGGCCUGGUGGCUCCCUGUGGCCCUAUGGGCCUUGAGGCAAGCAGAGACCAGCCAUAGUGAAGGGCAUACUGGCCACAUCCCCAAUCCACCCCCUCCCAGGUGUAACCCGCACCCACUUAGGGUGGUGGUCUGUCUUCUGCUAGUGAUGGACGGGCCACGGGCAAGUUGACAAACCUAUUACAGCCUCAGCUAACUCAGUUUGGUCUUGUAGUUCAGGCAGCAGAAGUGUCUGCUUGGGGAUCCCAAGUUUGGUCCUUGCUGCAUAGCUCAGGCAUGGCCUGUUGAGUGCUGGUCAGAAACCGUUUUCUCCAUCCUGCGAAAAAUCCUCCUGCCUUGGGACAGAGCCAAAACUUGCAAAGAUAUUGCAAAACCAGCUUUGUGCUGUGUGGGGUUGUGGUGGGUUUUUUGUCCAUGGAAACAUUUUGUUUCUAUUUCCACUAUUUUCAAUCUUGUAUUUUUUAAAAAGAAGCAAAUUUGUGAAACAGAAGAUCUAAAAUUUUUCUUUGGCAGACAGGACAUUUUGACAGUCAACUUUUUUUUUUUUAUCAGUUUCAUCAAAAUCCAAACAACUUCACUAAGUUUCAGUUUACUCAAAAUUCAUUUUCUAUCAGAAAAUUCCGAACUUUGUCCAGCUCUCAUCCAGUUCCACCAGCAGCUGUUCUCAGAGGAUUGGUUUCCUGCAAGAGGGGCUUAGAUGCCUUGGUGUAGCUGUGGAUCAGGCCCUGCCUCUACACUGGGGGAUGUGGGCUUUAGUGUCCCCUCCCCCUUCCUUAAGCACACAGGCCUUGUACACAGAGCUAAUCCCCCUGAUUAGCACUAGUUUGGCUUCUCCCUAAGUGGUGGUGUUACAAAUCCCCUGCCUUCCCCAGGAAAAGCAUUACUGGGGCUUUGCAUGAGGUUAGCUCCCAGAGCCACAUGCUGAUCUGGUCUCUUAGAGCCAGGCUGCCUAAAGGCAGAGUAAGUGCAGGGAGAGUGAGGCACUCUGGGAACUGGUUUCCCCCACUUAUCUGCCACCUUCCUCACACAAGCAGCAGCAAACCCUGCCUCCAGUUGAGAAACCAGGCUCUUUAUUUGCUGAUCACCUACAAAAGGGGAAGGCCUCUGAGGGGUUAAAUGGACACCGAAUAAAAAAAAUCAAGAUGGAAAUUCCUUGCCCCUUCCUCCGAAGCAGCUGUGUCUAGCAGCUUUUGGAGACAGGAUGUGGGGCUAGCUGGUCCCACUGGUCUGAGCUGCUGUGGCAUCUCCACUGUGGUUGCUGUAAGUCUGCAAUUUGCUGCAAUUACACAGGGAGAGUGUAUGCAGCAAAAUUGAAGGUAGAACAGAAGAAUACAGGGGCUUGGUUGUAUCGAUGGGAUUGUGAUGCUGGCAGACCAAGUGCCAGCUCAUGCCACAGUCCCCAUGCCUCAGUGGACAUUGGUUCCAGGCAUGUAUUUGUCAAUCUGCCUCACCUCUGUGUUAGUAUUGUGAAAAUAGGUAUUCGACUGGUAAGAAUAUGCGUAGUGUUUAGACUUUGAGUGCUUGUGAGUGGCUGCAUACAGCAAUCUCGCUCGGAGCCACUGUAUCCCAUAUUGUAAGGUCACGUUUAAGCAUUUGUCGUUUAAGCCUCUGUAACGGUAAAUCACCAGACAAGGGAGAGACGUUGGAUUAAUUAGUGUGAAAUGCUGGUGGCCAUGGAAGGGGUUAUGUCCUGCCUGACAAGAAAGGCCCAUCCAUGCCAGUCAGACUAGAGUGGAACAUUUUAAAGAGGACAAAAAACGUUGUUUACUCUCUGGUUCUCCCCUCCCCCUCCCCCCAUGAAGAUUAAUCCUGCAAGUGAAUUCCUCCCAUCAGGUGAGCUUGCAGCUCAAAGAAGUAGGGAAGGGAAUAAAAAGCCCUAACAAGGAGGAACUGUAUCUUCUUACUGCUUGGACUCUGGGGGGCAAGAAUUACCAGACAUAAGCAAAAGAUCCUGGGGUGCCAAGUUUCUAAUCUGCUGGGGGGUGCCUCCCCCACCCCCCCCCAGCUUCACCCAGGCCCACCCCUACUCCACCUCUUCUCCCAAGACUCCGCCACUGACCCACCUCUUUCCUUCCCCUUCCCCACCCAGUUCCGCCUCCUCCCCCGAGCAUGCUGUGCCCUCGCUACUCCCCCCAGCCCCUCCAGAUGCCACGAAACAGUGCGGUAGGCACUGGGAGGGAGGGGGAGGUGCUGAUUGGUGGGGCCUGCUGGCAGGCAGAAAGCACGAGGGGGAGGUUUUGGUAGGGGGGCUGCCAGUGGGUGCUCAGCACCCCCCAUCUCUUUCUAGGGGGCCCAUUGACUGUUCUGCCCUGGGGUGGGCCUGCUUAUUGUAGAUACUUCUAUUACCUUUUUGACCUUGAGAUUGGAACUCACUUGUGUGUAUCUGUUUUCCUGCUUUAACUUUGUAAAUAACACUCAUUUCCUUUUCCUGUAUAAUAGUUUAUUAUAGGACUGGCUACAAGUAUUGUCUUUUAGUGCAGUGGAUCUGGGGUAAGUGACUAGUCCUGGGGACCUGAAUAUUGUUGUGAUUCUUGGUGUAUAGGACCAUCUAUCACAAAGGUAAGCUUAUGUGCAUGGCAAGACAGACCAGAGUACUCGAGGGGACUGUCUGUGACUCCAUGUUUAGGCUGUCGUGGUGUGUGAGGAGUGCACACUUGAUAACUGGUUGGCAAAAUCGGAGUGCAGAACCCCUUGCCGGUUUGGGAUUUGUGCCCUGGUUCUUAGCAGUCUGGCCGAAGGCUGGUACUCAUGCUCCUGAGACCCACAGGACAGCUUGACAGGGAUCAAUAUACGUUCUCUUGAGACGUGGCUAUAAGAGGUUGCUAUAAUAAGCUGGUCCUAUCCAUGUGCACAAGAUCCAGUUGUAACCCUGAUCCUUAUAAAGGACUGCAGCAUACCAUUGCAGCAUGCUGGCCCUGUCUGUACCUGCACGAUCAACCCCUGUUACAAUCCUCAUAUUUUCAAUACUGUAACAGACUGGUCUCAGCCAUGCAUGAGCAAACCAUGUUAUCGCCCUGACUCGGUGUGGGGUGGAUGCUUGUGUGGCCGUUGGCCAGCUCAUUGGCUGGUAUAAAUUGACACACACACCCUUGACACCAAAUCUGAUUUACAAUGGCUGAGGAGUUAGUCACCAUGCCUAGAACCAGAUAAGCAAACCCCACACUGCACUUAAAGCCCCCAUUCCUCUCUAGUUGCUAGCUAGGUAAUAGGCUGGGAUUCAGGAUGCCUGGGUUCAGUUCCCAGCUCUGCUGCAGACUUCCUGUGCAGCCUUGGCCAAGUCACUGCCAAUUCUGUGCCUCCAUUUCCCCAGCUGUGAAAUGGGCUGGUAAAAGACUCCUUCUCUUGUUUACACUGCGGCAGGGACGACUCUUGCUAUGGGUGUGUGCAGUGCUGGUUGAAGGGGCUGAUCUCAGUAGGGGCGUGCUAACAUAAUGCAACUAAUUGACAACAGGUUGGAUCAAUUAGGAGGCCAGAAGUGAUGGACGCAACUGUGGCUGAACUGAGGCCUCCUAUGGCCACACAAUACAUCAAUGGAAGCCUUAAGGGGAGACUGAACCGCUGAGGUGAUGGACACAAGGGGGGGGGGGUGAACUGAGGCCUUGUCAGCCACUGGGUGGGUGGCAGUUAAGCCGGCGAUGGUCCCAUGAGGAGGCUGUGAGACACUGGGGAUGAAUUGAGGCCUAGGUGAUGAGCCCUCACCAGGCAGAAAAAACAAGUGUGAUUGGUCGGGGGGAAUCCAUGUCCCUGAGUGGAACGGAGAUGGUGCUUCCCAUUGGGGUGAAAAUGUCCUGCUGCCUCAGAGCUGUUUGCUGAGCUUGCGCACUUGCCUCUCACGUGCCUCAAAGGCUAUCUUGGUGUCCAUGAGCUCGCUGAGGGCCUUGCGCAUCUCCUCCAUCUCGUGCUCGGCCUGCUCAUAGUUUUGAGCCAGUUCCUUGUUCUCCCGCUGCAGCUCCUCCAUGAUCAGCUUGAUGUCUUCGUUCUGGCGCCGGCAGUGGUUCUUCAGCUGCUCCGCCUCAGCCAGCAAGGUCUCCACUGUCUUCACCACUGACUCGGUCUGCUCCCUGGACAUGGCUGGGGCGGGAAGGAAAGGCAUCGUGUGAGCUCUGUUUCCUGGUCAGACUACAUAUCCCAUGAUGCACCAUGGUCUCCCCUCAUGGUUUCCACUGGCCAUUGGAUAGUAUUUGGAGCAGGAGCAGCUACCCCAUAUGCAUGAAAGUGACACUUCUUCCGAUCAUCCUGCUGUAUCUCUGAGCUAGCCAGCGUGCCCAGAAAACCAGGUCUCUUCAGGAUAAUGCUAAAUCCUCUUCCUGCCUGAGAAUGAAGAUAUAACUUAUUGGAAACUGCUCCCACCCCACACCAAAGGGCUGCUACCGAGAAUUAUGGUAAGUGGAUUGGUGGCUGCCAUGUUUUGUGCUAAUUUGACAGUCACCCUUUUUUGGCAGCACCCCAGGGAUCAAACCAGGGACUUCUAGAGACCAAAACAUCAGCUGCUACAGCUUGAGUUAAAGAAUCAAAGCUCCACAACUAGAGGCUGUAACAUAAGGUUACCAUAUUUCCUCAUUUUUAAAAAAGAAGACACUCCAUGGGGCCCUGGCCCUGCCCC